AGUGGGAUAACUGGGUCAUGGUGUUUCCAGUCCAAGCUUUCUGAGGAAUUUCCAUAUUACUUUCCAUAGUGGUUGCACCAAUUUGCAGUCCCACCAGCAAU
rnacentral:pre_miRNA from 1 species